rnacentral:rRNA from 1 species
GGACUACAGGGGUAUCUAAUCCUGUUUGCUCCCCACGCUUUCGCGUCUCAGCGUCAGUCACUGUCCAGAAGGCCGCCUUCGCCACCGGUGUUCCUCUCGAUAUCUACGAAUUUCACCUCUACACCGAGAAUUCCGCCUUCCUCUCCAGGACUCAAGUCUCGCAGUUUCGAGUGCACUUCCUAGGUUGAGCCCAGGGCUUUCACACCCGACUUAUGAGACAGCCUACACGCGCUUUACGCCCAGUAAUUCCGAACAACGUUUGCACCCUCUGUCUUACCGCGGCUGCUGGCAC